GUGGAAAAAAAUCUAGAACAUGGUAGGAUUGAUAGUUAUCUGACAUCUAUUUUUAUUGUGCAGGAAAACUGAGAAGUGCAAAGGUCUGAACUUUCAAAUGUAUUAUAUACUCAAUGGAAUUUCAUCUUAUGUCAACACAUUGAGUAAAGAGUGAAAAGAGUCCCAAGUUCAUAUACAACACUACACCCACACGGCUUCUGUUUUCAGCAAAUUAUGAAUUAACUGGUAUGUUAUAAAGUUCUCUACUUCCAGAUCAAAUUCCAACAUACUUGAAAAGCAGCAAGCAUAACACCAGAUUUGAAAAAUAGCACAAAACAUACCAGAUAAUUGCAGUGGAGACGACCAUAAACUAUUUUCUAAUUGGGAAGGAAGCUUUGAGGAAGGUAUUUAAAAAAUGACAAAGUUGCUGUUGAUUGAUGUUGAUUGUGGAGUCGAUGAUGCUCAAGCCAUAAUGAUGGCGCUGGCAUCUCCCAGUGUUGAAAUCCUGGGAAUUACUUGCUGUUAUGGAAACACAGUGUUGGAAAACGUCUGCAAAAAUGUACUCCGUGUGCUACAAGUUUGUAAAAGGCUUGAGAUUCCAGUUUAUCAAGGUGCUUCUGCUCCCUUACUUGGUGGUCCUGUGGAAGGGGCUUUCUUUCAUGGAAGAGAUGGUUUGGGUGAUGUUCCUGUUCCGAAUGCUCCAGGAUUAGACCAUCUACAGAAAGAACAUGCUGUGAUUGCAAUGUUAAGAAUUGUUAAUGAGAAGCCUGGUCAGAUUUCUCUAGUUGCCACUGGUCCUUUGACUAAUCUAGCUUUGGCAGUGAAAUUGGAUCCAACAUUUCCUAAGAAGCUUAAAAAUGUGUUCAUUAUGGGAGGAAAUGUAGAAUCCAGAGGAAAUGUUACAGUCUGUGGAGAAUUCAAUUUUGCAACUGAUCCAGAAGCUGCGUAUGUUGUCUUAAAUGAGUUCACUUGCCCUACUUAUAUUGCAACAUGGGAAUUUACAUGUCGCAAUUCAUUGUCUUGGGAAUUCUAUCAUGAGUGGAUUAAUCAGGACACCAAAAAAGCUAAGUUCACAGAGAAAAUAUUUGCCCACAGUAUAAAAUUAAUGAAGUCAGAACACGAAAAUACAGGCAACAUCUUAUGGACUUCAGGAUUUGUGUGUUGUGAUUCCUAUGCUAUGGCUGCUGCAAUUGACGAGAGCUUUGUCACAGAAGCCAUAGAAGCUGCUGUCAUCUCUAGUCCAACCUACAAAGCCAAUCACACCAUGUGCCUAGUUUUCAGCCUAGAUAUAAAAAAAUUAAAAAUGAAGAGGCAGAUCUUUAAGGUUAGUAACCUUUUUUUCAGUUAUUUGUGAUGUAAUAUGUAACAAUUUUCUUGACACAGAAGAGGGAGCAAAAGGAGGGGAGCUCUCUAUGCCUUGGAGAUAGUCACCCUUCAGGCUGAAUGUUCUGGUUUUUGGGAGGAUGGGGGAGACUGAAUUCCUUUUUCUGUAACAUUAACCUAUGAAUGAAUGAAUGUUAGAGACACUUUUAUUUAGCUGUGUUUGUCUAGUUCUGUGUUCUUAGUGCUGUUUGUGGAGCUAGUGUCCCACAUCUCACUAUCUUACCAAAGUAUGCGGAAAAGUUUCCACGUGUUUGGGCAUGAUUAUGCCACUUCCUAAUUUCAGAUUCUGGGACUCCUUUCAGUUACUUGAGACUGCCCUCCGCUCCUGUGAUCACUAAUCCUGUGUGCGUGAUCCAUUCUCCAAAGUCAUUCAUAUAGCUUGGAACUCUCUCUCAUUGUUCUCUAGAACUACUUUGUCAUUUUUUCCUUAUAUGCUUAAUUUUUUCCCUCUUUUUCUGGAAGGAGAGUUCAUCCGCCUCUCUUCUUCAAACACAUCAGCUUAUGAUCAUACAGUGAACUACAUAAACCCAAGAGAAUGAUUGUGGGAGUUAUGCAGUUCACUGUGCAGAUAUAUGCAGGUGCUUAUCUUAUUUAUGUGUGUGUAUAUAUAUUCAUGAGCAUCCAUGAACUGUAGUUGUCCAAUGUGCUAUGACCAGAAUAUGAUACUGAGUCUUUCAGUAUUUAGCUCAUGUACAGUGCUCACGUAUAGGGGCUGUGUGCAAGAAGGAAGGAAGGAGAGGGGCAGGUGAAAAACAAUGAAAGGGAGGAAAGGGAAAACCAGUCUGAAGGACUGGGGAAAAUAUGAGGUGUGUAAAUCAAAAAUACCUAAACUGUAUAAAAAUAGACAGGGGGUAGGCAGGUGCAGAAUGGGAACAUGAAAAAUUGACUUUUUUGGAGGAGGAAGGCAGAGGGUAGAGCUAGCCAUAGAUAAUAAAUAAAAGGACACUUUAAUAGGAGAUAUAGUGUCCAGUUUAGUUAGAUAACUUGACCUACAAGUAGUAUAUGGUAAAAUAUUUACAGGAAGUAAUAUUUACUGUACUUGUAUCAUUGUAGCACCUAGGAGCCCCAGUCAUGGACCAGGACCCAGUUGCGUGCUAAGUGUUGUACAAACACAAAAUGCGAUGAACUGAGGAAAUCUCUCACUGGAUGUUUUCUCGUGAGCCGUUGGACUUUUCCGGAAUGAGGGCCUGAUCCUGCAAACAAAGAAUGGAGGAGUCAUCCCUGCUCCUAUGUGAAACUAACUAUGCACCAGCAAAAGGGAACUACCGAGAAGUGAUUUAGGUAGUAGUUGCAGAGGAUGCUGAAGUGUUAUCAAAGUGACAUUCUUAUAAUCUCUCCUAUGUCACUAAAAUGAUAAGUUAAACCAAACAGUUAAGGUUUAGCAACAAAAGGUGCAUCACACCACCUAAACUCUUAUAUGAGGUAAACACUGCAUUGAAAUGGGGAGGAAACUGUACACAAACUAAUUUCCCUGUACACUAUAAGAACUAACCGUAGCAAGAGAAAAAACAUGACAAUUCAACAAAAACCCUUCCCCAUUGCUGUCCUGAAUGUUGGUCUUCAUACUAAAUGAGUAAAAUACGGAGUGUGAGGAUGAGAGUGUGGAGCUACCACUAUCUGUCUGAAUGUAGGAUCUAUUCUUCUUUCUAGCUAGCUAGCUAUAUGACCUGCGUGGUUAAAGUCAAUGGUCGGCAAAGACUCUAUCCUUCAGUUUCUGAUUUCUUUCUCUGUGUUUAUGGCCUUUGUUUUUAAGCUGCAGCGUUAGGAAAAUCUUCAAGAGUGGGUAUGCAAACAUCACAUGUCUUGGACUGCAGUGAUUUAGAGGUUGGGAUUUUGGGGCUACUAAGCAGAAUCAAGAUCUGUCAAAUGUCACCUUGGCUGUUCUUAACUGUGCAUGAAAACAGAAGGAGUAGCUUUACAGGUGAUAGAGCUAAUGCUCCUGGCUUUCGGUGCAGGAUAGAUAGCAGCACUACGGGUGUGUAUGUGCAAUGCUGGAAGUGCUUGAGUACCAAACAAGUGAUUUUAUAAAAAUUCCAGGUGCUUCCACCAUUGCUGUAAGACCAGCCCUAAGACAAGUAUUUUGUGUAAAGCAAUAUACAGUGAUCUAUCUGCAGGUGAACUGAUCUUUUUCAUUGGUUUUUACAGCACCCAUAUGAUUUUAAUAGUUUUUUUUUAUUCAACAGCUAUUUUAUUUUGACUAUGUUCUUCCUUGUCAACUCUUCACUUGAAGAUUGGAUGAACUUUCAGCAGCACUCAAUUAAAAAAGAUUAUAUAGCCUGUGUACUUACUGCAGUU